AUCCGAGUGCAAGGGUCUUACACGAAUCAAUGAGGAGUAUCCGAGAUCGUGUUUGCUAGUCAAACCCAUUGACCACUUCAAGUGAGCUUGAUCGCUUGGGAAUUUUUGAAGCUACCUCUCUCGAGU
rnacentral:snRNA from 1 species